UACAGAGGCCUCGAGCGUUAGGCGGAAUCACUGGGCUUAAAGCGUGUGUAGGUGGAUGCCUAAGUACCUUGUGAAAUCCCACGGCUUAACCGUGGAAUUGCUUGGUAUACUGGGCGUCUUGAGCCACUCAGGGGCGAGCGGAACGAACGGUGGAGCGGUGAAAUGCGUAGAUAUCGUUUGGAACGCCAAUGGUGAAAACAGCUCGCUGGGGGUGUGCUGACACUGAGACACGAAAGCCAGGGGAGCAAACGGG
rnacentral:rRNA from 1 species